rnacentral:rRNA from 1 species
AAUAGAUACCCGGGUAGUCCACGCCGUAAACGUUGGAUACUAGGUGUGGCGUCCCGAUCAACGGAUGCCGUGCCGAAGCUAACGCAUUAAGUAUCCCGCCUGGGGAGUACGGCCGCAAGGCUAAAACUCAAAGGAAUUGACGGGUCCCCGCACAAGCGGCGGAGCAUGCGGCUUAAUUCGAUGCAACCCGAGGAACCUUACCUGGGUUUGAAAUCAUGGGAAAAGCUGUAGAAAUACAGUGUCCGUAAGGGCCCAUGACAGGUGGUGCAUGGCUGUCGUCAGCUCGUGUCGUGAGAUGUUGGGUUAAGUCCCGCAACGAGCGCAACCCUUGUCCUAUGUUGCCAGCGGUUCGGCCGGGGACUCAUAGGAGACUGCCGGGGAUAACUCGGAGGAAGGUGAGGACGACGUCAAGUCAUCAUGCCCCUUAUAUCCAGGGCUGCACGCAUGCUACAAUGGUCGGUACAACGGGCAGCGACCCCGGCGAGGGUGAGCGAAUCCCACAAAGCCGGCCUCAGUUCGGAUUGGAGUCUGCAACUCGACUCC